UACGGGGGGGGCAAGCGUUGUUCGGAAUUCCUGGGCGUAAAGGGCUUGUAGGUGGCCAACUAAGUCAGACGUGAAAUCCCUCGGCUUAACCGGGGAACUGCGUCUGAUACUGGAUGGCUUGAGUUUGGGAGAGGGAUGCGGAAUUCCAGGUGUAGCGGUGAAAUGCGUAGAUAUCUGGAGGAACACCGGUGGCGAAGGCGGCAUCCUGGACCGGUAUUGACGCUGAGGAGCGAAAGCCAGGGGAGCAAACGGG
rnacentral:rRNA from 1 species